rnacentral:rRNA from 1 species
GACGAACGCUGGCGGCGUGCCUAAUACAUGCCAGUCGAACGCUUCUUUCCUCCCGAGUGCUUGCACUCAAUUGGAAAGAGGAGUGGCGGACGGGUGAGUAACACGUGGGUAACCUACCCAUCAGAGGGGGAUAACACUUGGAAACAGGUGCUAAUACCGCAUAACAGUUUAUGCCGCAUGGCAUAAGAGUGAAAGGCGCUUUCGGGUGUCGUUGAUGGAUGGACCCGCGGUGCAUUAGCUAGUUGGUGAGGUAACGGCUCACCAAGGCCACGAUGCAUAGCCGACCUGCGAGGGUGAUCGGCCACACUGGGACUGAGACACGGCCCAGACUCCUACGGGAGGCAGCAGUAGGGAAUCUUCGGCAAUGGACGAAAGUCUGACCGAGCAACGCCGCGUGAGUGAAGAAGGUUUUCGGAUCGUAAAACUCUGUUGUUAGAGAAGAACAAGGACGUUAGUAACUGAACGUCCCCUGACGGUAUCUAACCAGAAAGCCACGGCUAACUACGUG